GAUGAACGCUGGCGGCGUGCUUAACACAUGCAAGUCGAACGGAUUUAAUAGAAAGCUUGCUUUCGGUUAAAUUAGUGGCGGACGGGUGAGUAACGCGUGGAUAACCUGCCGUAUACAGGGGGAUAACACUUAGAAAUAGGUGCUAAUACCGCAUAAGCGCACAGUUUCGCAUGAGACAGUGUGAAAAACUCCGGUGGUAUACGAUGGAUCCGCGUCUGAUUAGGUAGUUGGUGGGGUAACGGCCCACCAAGCCGACGAUCAGUAGCCGGCCUGAGAGGGUGAACGGCCACAUUGGGACUGAGACACGGCCCAAACUCCUACGGGAGGCAGCAGUGGGGAAUAUUGCACAAUGGGGGAAACCCUGAUGCAGCGACGCCGCGUGAGUGAAGAAGUAUUCGGUACGUAAAGCUCUAUCAGCAAGGAAGAAAAAGACGGUACUUGACUAAGAAGCCCCGGCUAACUACGUG
rnacentral:rRNA from 1 species